CUGUGAUUGGAAUUGGGGGAAAUAAAUCUCUAGAAUUCGCUUCCUUCAAUCGGGAGGUGAAGAUCGAGAAACCCUAAAGGAGAGGAAUUCCGUGAAGAAGGAAGCGAUGGAGACAAAGGAGGCAGCUAUUUAGGGCUCCUCGAUUUCGAUCGAGAGAAAGAGAAAGAGACGAGAAACGAAAGAGAAUGAGAAAUGAGAGAGAGGAAAAUUAUAAAAUAC
rnacentral:misc_RNA from 1 species